ACAGGAGGUGAGAGGUUCAGGAGUUGACAUACAGGAUGUGGGCUGUAUUUCUUUCCCUUGGAAAAGGAGAGGUAACCGAAGAUAGAAAACAGGCCUAAAAAUAAAUCCCAGAAGGAAGACGAGAUUUGCCUACAUUUGUCUCUGAGCAGGUCCCAGCAGACACUUGGCAGUUCCUAUGAUCGGGUGCUGGGGAGCCCACUGGUUCCGAGGUCUACACAUGAAGUCACCCUAAAGAGGGUGGUGGCUGCUGCUUCGUAAAGACCUCAU
rnacentral:lncRNA from 1 species